UUCCCAAGCCGGGGGACUGGGGAGCCCUGAGCAACUCUUGAAGCUGUCCCCAACCAGGCAGAGACCACAGGACACCUUCCCACUGAGGUCCUCACCUACUCCUGGGAGGUGCCACAGGCCAAUGGGGCAGGGGACAGCGAGGUCUGUCUGUCCUUGCACUCUGGUUCUGGCCUCAGGUGGCCUUGGAAGCAGCCUCUUCGCUUCCUCAACCUCAGUUUCCUCAUCUGUAAAAGGAGUGGAAGUGGAAGCUCAUGUUGGCCUUGCCCUUAGCAGGUCUGGCUCAGCAGUCCUGCGUGGGAGCCAGGAAUCUGCAUUUCUGCCAAGUACCCAGUGAUGGACUCAGGGACCACACUUUGGGGGUCACCACAGUAGAUCAUUUCUGGGCUCAGAUCAGAACCCACAGUUUCUGACACUGUGAGAGCCACAGAAAGAGCCUGCAACUUCCAGUUCCCCACCAGUGGGUGUCCUGUCCCUGGAGGCCCUGGCUUGGGAGGCGCAGGUAGGAGGGACAGAGCAGGUUCCACUGGAGCAUCACAUGCAGGGCUGAGGGCAGGCACAGGCUCUUCUGAUUUAUGUGUCCCUCACAGCCAAAGGGAAGGUUGUGUGAUUUUGUUUGCGGUGUUUUCCGGUGGGCAGGUGUCCUCCUGCAGGACCUGGGUGGGCUUUCAGGAUGGCAUCUGCGGUUGCCAGAAUGGAGUCCCCUCCCACCAACACCUGUGGCCGGGGGCAUUGCUGAGUGGAUCUAGAAAUCCCCCGCCCCCAAAGGCAGGGGCUUCAGCAACAGCUCCACGAGCCCAGCAUGCCUCUCUGCCCUCCCUCAGGGACUCCCUCUUGUCUGUGAUGCCAAGUCUCCCUGCCUGUCUCCCUCUCACACUGUCUCUCCUGACAUCUUGGCACCUGGAACUCCUUUCUCCAGGCCGCCUAGAGCUCAACUGCCCAUCACCUACCAGUUAUCCUCAUGAGAGAAUCUGAUUGGUCCCAGCCUAGCCAAUGGGCUGGCUGCUCUGGAUCAGGUGUCCACCCCUGAUCCAAUCAGGCCUGGCUGGGAGAGGCAGGGAGUGGGACAGAGUGACAGCUAGUUAGUUCAUCCUUCAGGGCCACUUUAUUGUACUAACCCAAUUGAGACCUUAUUCAUGGUGACCAGGAAGCAAAUUAACCCCAAGUCCCACUUAUCCGCACCCAUCAUCUUAAAAUUAUAAAAUUAUAAAACAGAACCACUCCUUGAUUUCCUGGGCCCCUUGGGCUGUAUCAUCCUAUGUCUCACGCAAAAAACUUCUUAACCCUGACUCUCCUGUCCUCCCUCCUGGCGACAGUGGCUGCCCCGUCCCACCUUCUCAGCCUCCAUAGCUGGCACUGCUCACUUCCUGGCCUCUGGGUGUUGGACCCUGUAGCCUCUGGUCCACACUAGCCUGGCAGGCAGCCCAUCUGUGGCUUCUGGUGCCCUUGGUGGGCCUCCCCAAGCCUACCCUGGCCGAGUGGCUGAAAACAACACGCAUUUCUGUUGUCACCAUUUUGGACAUCAAAAGUCUGAAAUCAAGUGUAGCUGGACAAGGCUGGUUCCCUUUGGAAUCUGAGGGAGAAUCUGACCCUUGCCUCUGUCCUGGCUUCUGGAAAGAUCGCAGGUGGCCUUCAUUCCUGGGCUUCUAGCUGCUUCAUGGCAGCCACUGCCAGCCUGAGGCCAUCUGACAACUUUCCCUGUGUCUGCUCCCAUGGACACCAGUCCUGGGGUUUAGGCCCCACAUUACUCCAGUGUGACGACCUCCUCACCCCUGAGCAAAGACCCUGUUGCAAACCUCGUUCUCUUCCAGUACUCUGGGUGUCAUGAAAUGUAGGGGUGCCAUGGAGCACACUGUGGGGUCCCAGAUGCAACAUGUCCAAGCCACAUCUGUUUCCUGUCCCUCAUCCUUGGCUCCACCCCUUCCGGUCCCCAUCUGAGGGAUCAGACCCACCAUCCUUACAGCUGCCCACAGCUAGAAUCAUUGUGAAUCUGCUUUCCUUCAUCCCCCCAUCAGAAAGCCUCUCGACCUCGGCUCCAGAGCGAUCUCCCCACAGCCACCUCCCCGGGCUGCUCUACCUGGCCCCACCCCACCUCUACUCCUCCAGUGUCUUCUUGCUGCCACUGAAGCCAGAAUAGUCUUUUUAAAAAUAGCUUCGUAAAUUUAUAAUGUUGGAAAGAUUGAAACUGAGAUAGAAACAGAGAGGACAGUGUCAUGAACUCCCGUUUACCACCCAGCCUCAGCGGGAUGGUCAGCUCACAGCUGAUCUUGGGUUGGCUGCCUGUUCUUGAAGCCACCUCCCUCCAGUCCUAGACUCCAUGUGACCAGAGCUUUUAAAAAUAUAAAUGAGAGCCAGGUGUGGUGGUGUUCACCUGUCAUCCUAACCCCUCUGGGAGGCUGAAGCAGCAGGAGGAUCAAAAGUUAGAACCCAGGGCUGGGGAUUUAGCUCAGUGGUUCUACCGCCUGCUGUGCAAGUGCAAGGACCCAGUUCGAUCGCGGUACCAAAAACAAAACAAAACAAAACAAACCAAAAAGUUAGAACCCAGCCUAGGCAACUUACCGAUUUGAAAAAGACCUUGUCUCAAAAUGAAAAAUACAAAGGGCGGUGGUAUAGCUCACUGAGAAGGCCCCUGGGUUCAAUCCCCAGUAUCACAGGAAGGGGAGGGAGGGAGGAGAGAAAAACAUAAAUCCAAUCUGGCCCUUCCCUUCCCAGCUCACAUGGGCAGUACCAUGGCUCUGAGUAACAUCCAGGCACUGUAUGGUGGCCCAGAAGACCCAGACCCCUCCCUGUCCAGCUCCUGCCACACCCAUCCUUGCCCCAUAUUUGUGACACUGCUGGUGAGGUGAGGUCAUCCCCACACUGUGUCCUGCUCUUCCAUCCUUUGCACCUGCCAGUCCUCCUGCCCAAAACCCCUGCCUUGGAGGAGGUGGACGGCUCCUCCUCCCCCUGCAGGGCUCAGCUGAACUCCAGUUUCCCUCAUCCUUUGUUCAAAGCUCAAAUCACAGUCUGGAACCACUCUGCUCUGCGCUUAUUGUGUGCACCCCUCCCCAGAACAUCAGCCCCUUGAAGGGGGACCCAGUCUGUCUUGAUCACCUCUGGAUCCCCAGUGCCAAAACAGGACAGGAAUGAGAUGUGCUUUUCCAAGAGGGCUUCCUGGGUCACAGGCUGGGGACGGAUUUUUGUUUUUGUGUUUUUGUAGUACUGGAGAUUGAGCCCAAGGCCAUCACACUGAGCUCCAUCCCUAGCCAUUUUUUUUAAAUUUUUUUUAUUUUUUUUGGUACUGUUGAACUCGGGACCUUGCACUUGCGAGGCAGGUGGCAGAACCACUAAGCUAAAUCCCCGGCCCCUCCCUUUUUAGUUUUUUAUUUUGGGGCAGAAUAGUCUCAUUAAGUUGCCCAGGCUGGGCUCAAACUUCUGCAGUCUUCCUGCCUCAGCCCCCCGCCCCGUAGGGAACAUUUUGUGGCCCACUUGUGCCCACCUUGUCCCCCACUUGGGAUAUCAGUAGGCUCAGUCAUCUGGACUUUGUGUUCUCUGUUACCUACACAGUGCCUCUGCAGCUACUUUCAUUAAUGUAGGAAAACCCAUUUUACCAGGACAAACCUGUUUCAUGAACUAGACUCAACUAUUUUUGAGAACUGGCAGAAAGUGACCAAGGCCUCAGGGAGACCAAGGGGUAUGUGAUAUGUCGCUGUUCUUUGGGAGCCUCCAGCAUCUUGAGGACACACCUGUCACUGAUUAAAAAAAACAAGCCACACACACACACACACAAAACAAGCCACAGCUGGAAUUUUAGCACUCAGGAGGCUGAGGCAGGAGGAUUGCCAAGAGUUUGAGGCCAGCCUGGACUACAUAGCAAGACCCUGUCAAAAGUAAUUUUUUUGUGUGUACCAGAGAUGGAACUCAGCACUUUGGGUUUUGAGGCAGGUGGCGACACCACUGAGCUAAAUCCUGGGCCCAAAAAAUAAAUAAAUUUUUUUAAAAAUUAAAGAAUAAAACAAGCCCUUGGACUAGGCAUAGUGACACAUGCCCAUAAUCCCAGCUACUGGGGAGGCUGAGGCAGGAGAAUCACAGUUCAUGGCCAGCCUGGACCACUUAGCAAGAUCUGUCUCAAGAAACAAAACAUAAACACUAGCCCUUGAGCCAGGCAUGGUGCUGCAUACCUGUAAUCCCAGGUAACUGGAAUGCUGAGAUAGAAGGAUCACAUGUUCAAGGCCAGCCUAGGGAAUUUAGUAAGACCCUGUCUCAAGACAUAUUUUUAAAAAGGAAUGGGGAUGUAGCUCAGUGGUAGAGCCCUUGUCUAGCACAUUUGAGGCUCUGGGCCCAGGCCCCAUUGCACACAAAUACACACACUCCUAGCCCUUGGUUACCUGACAGGAGUGAGUCCCCAGGCAGUUAAGUGCUCUGUGCCACAGAAAUGGGGUGGACACCAUGCAAAAGAAAAGGGGAAGAGCCACCUGCCACGGGUGGAGGUAAGGCUUGAUCCAGCCUCCAGUAUCUGCACUGGGACUGGAAAACAGGGACCCCACAUACACACACACACACUUCCAGAGCCUUCUUGUGGGGAGGAAGUGGAAGUGUCUGUUCUGGGCCUCACUUCCUGGAACCCGUGGGCCUUUCCAAGCCCUUGGUUUCCCUGUUGGAGCAAUUGUUCUUCUGGGUGGUGCUGGCCUUCCCUUGUCCUCUCGUGCAGAGCCUUAGGGGAAAAAACCCCAAGAAAAAAGAUCGCAGACCCACGGACACGGAUGUCACUUCCAUGUAUGAAUCACAGUGUGUACAUCUGUCCCUGUUCAUUGGUGUCCUGAGGAGUUCGUUCUGUGAUCCUCGGUUCCCAGAAUCCAGGAAAGCACAGACCCUGUCACCCUCUGUUCUUCAGGGGAUAAUGACAAGGACAAAUGUCCUGCUCUGCUCAGCAGAGAUACAACUUUCUUUUAACUUUCAAUCUGCUGUUGGUGGAACCCAGGGGUGUGGGUCCCAGGACUGUGGGGUUUUGUGCCUCAGUUUACCACACCCGCAAGGGGAAAAGGGUUUGCUUUACUCUGUCCCACCUCUGCCCAAGAUGAGCCUGUUUUCCAAGCUGGGGGUGCCGGGCAGGGUCUCGCCCAUGCCAGAGCUCGUCCUGGGCGGGAGAUGCCAGCGACGACACCCUGAGAAUGGGGGGCUUUGUUAGCGGAUGAAGCAGGCGUUGUGACGCCGGGACAGAAGCGCCCUUGUGCUCGCUGGAGACCGGGCGGCCUCUACAGUGCCCGGGUGGGUGGGCAUCGAUCCGGCAGGCUCUGACCAGGGUGGCGGGAGGCUCAAGGCCUGGGUUUCUUUUUCAAAACCCUUCAUUCUCUGAGUUCUUCCUGUCCUGUGCACGCCUGGGGGCCGAGAAAUGGGGAAUCGUUUAUCCAUCCAUGCCCCUUAGGCCCGGCCCUGGGUCAAAAAUGAGCUCGGAGGACCGGGGCUUUAGCUCAGUGGUGCCACCGCCUGCCUCGCAAGCGCAAGGUCCUGAAUUCGAUCCCCGGUACCGAAAUAAAAAAAUAAAAUAAAAUGAGCUCAGCCCACAGGCUCCCCGAGGGGGUGCAGAGAGGCUGGCCCUGGGGGUGUCGGGAAAUCGGGGUGCCCGUUGCCGCCCCAGUUGGGGUGCUGUUAAGGUGGGGUCCUCAAAGCCCCCUCUGCUUUCCACGCACCCCAACCCAGGCUCCUCUCUUUCCGGAGCGACUCUGGCUCGUCGACCUGCUCUUCGUCCCGUGCACUGAAGAUGACGCCUCCUCUUUCUCUCUCCCUCUCCCUCUUUCCGUCUCCGGCUUCCUCCUCCCGUACCCUCCCCACGCCCCUCCCGCCCGGCCCGGGCGGAGCAGACCCAGACGCAGCUGGAGCAUGCGCGCAUUGGGGAGCUGGAGCAGAGCCUGCUACUGGAGAAGGCGCAGGCGGAGCGGCUGCUCCGAGAAUUGGCGGACAACAGGCUGACCACGGUGGCCGAGAAGUCGCAUGUUGCAGCUGGAGGAGGAGCUGAGCCUGCGGUGGCGGCGAGAUCGAGCAGCUGCAGCAGUGCCUGCUGCACGCUGGGCCCC
rnacentral:lncRNA from 1 species